rnacentral:tRNA from 1 species
GGAGAGGUGCCAGAGCGGACGAAUGGGACGGUCUCGAAAACCGUUGAGCCCCUACGGGGUUCCGUGGGUUCGAAUCCCACCCUCUCCGCCA